AGAGAAAAAAAAAAUUGCAAAAUUGCAAUACAAUAUGAAAUUCAAAUACCUCAUUAUUUGAGAUCCACAUCCAAAUGGCCCCGAAGAUUAUAUUUUGAGGAAGAUAAGUUAGAUAUACUUACCUCUGAUUUACAAGUACGUUUAUUUCUUAUUUACCUUAGCUUUCCACUGAUCUUGUAGUUACUGAUUAAAUUGGAGGACAACAGAUUGAUUAAAACUGUUGGCAUACCAGUUGAAGAUGAAAAAGGUUCAAUGCGCCUUACUGCAUGUGUCUAAUCUCAGGUUGGCUGUCCAAUGCGUUGCUCAUUCUGUGCCACCGGAAAAGGAGGGUAUUCAAGAAAUCUUCAAAGGCAUGAAAUUGUUGAGCAGGUUUUGGCUAUUGAGGAGAUCUUCAAACUUUGAGUGACAAACGUAGUCUUUAUGGGAAUGGGUGAACCAACGCUGAACUUGAAGUCUGUCUUCAAAGCUCACCGAUGCUUGAAUAAGGUGAAUUUUUAUUUAUUUUAUCU